rnacentral:rRNA from 1 species
GGAGCUUGCUCCCGGAUGUUAGCGGCGGACGGGUGAGUAACACGUGGGUAACCUGCCUGUAAGACUGGGAUAACUCCGGGAAACCGGAGCUAAUACCGGAUAGUUCCUUGAACCGCAUGGUUCAAGGAUGAAAGACGGUUUCGGCUGUCACUUACAGAUGGACCCGCGGCGCAUUAGCUAGUUGGUGGGGUAAUGGCUCACCAAGGCGACGAUGCGUAGCCGACCUGAGAGGGUGAUCGGCCACACUGGGACUGAGACACGGCCCAGACUCCUACGGGAGGCAGCAGUAGGGAAUCUUCCGCAAUGGACGAAAGUCUGACGGAGCAACGCCGCGUGAGUGAUGAAGGUUUUCGGAUCGUAAAGCUCUGUUGUUAGGGAAGAACAAGUGCGAGAGUAACUGCUCGCACCUUGACGGUACCUAACCAGAAAGCCACGGCUAACUAGGUGCCAGCAGCCGCGGUAAUACGUAUGUGGCAAUCGUUCUCAAUAAUUAUUGGGCGUAAGGGGCUCGGAGGCGCUUUCUUAAGUCUGAUGAAAUUCCCCCCUGCUCAC